GCCACUUGCCAAUGCCAGACGAAUAUGGUAAUAGUGAUAUUGUGAAAGGCGAUUAACAUGCUCGCUCGAGAGUCGAGAAGCGCGGGCUUCAGCAUUCUGGUUCUGUCUGGGGCUGCUGCUUCCCAGUUCAGUUCCCAGCAAUUAGUAAUUUCAUUUCUAGGUUGUUGCUCUGUUACCACCUUUUCCCUUCAGUUUUACUUGCUUUGCUCAAAUUGUUUUCUGAUUUCCAAAUGUGUCCGGUUUCUCUUCAAAUUGAUGCUUCUGUGGACUUCACAGACAAAAACAAUCCCGAUUUAUUCGGAGACUUCUGCGUCACUAAGAUCUCAGUGCUGUAAUUUCUUCUAGCUUUCAAUAACCUUGACUAAUCUCUUCGUUGCUCUGUUCACUCAUUUUCGUUUCUCAAUGUAUUAUUGGCACACUUAGUUUAUUAGACCAUCUGUCUUACUAAUAAUCUAACAAACCUCCAGCUUUAUUCCAGUUUACUUUUGUAUUGGUAAGAUGAAAUGGCUGAACAGGAUUUCUGGGUUGUAUUUUGGUUUAACUUUUCUCCGUAUCAGCCUCUUUGAUAAAACUAUCCACAAGUUUUUUUUUUUUUCGAUAAAACUAUGCACAAGUUAAUAACUUCAAAUAUUACUAGGUAUUACUUUAUAUAUAAUAAACCUUUUUUUUUUCCUUCCAGUGUUAAACCUGUCCAAGUUUCUUUAGCUUAACCAAUGGAAGUUUCACUGUUUAUCGAGAUUUUCACGUAAAUCCAAUUUUGAGUUUAUGAACCCACUCCAUGUUAUCUGCCUUUUACCCUUUUUUUUUAGUUUUGAAGGUUCUGAAAUCUGAAUAGAGUUGAUCUUCGUUUGAUUUCAAAUGGUGUUGUAGCAAUACGUUUUAUAAUACAAUUUGGUUCCUUAUGUGAAAAGUUGCAACUACCCUUGGAGACACUGACCACAAUAAUGUUGAUUUUAUUUGCCUCCUUGAACUGCCAUUUAUCUCAUUUGCCCAAUAGGAACUGGCUUUAACUAUUUGCAUAGUUUUAAUUUGUUGUUCUCUUAGAUCUCCUCUGGAAGUCUUGGUACUUUUUAUUAUUGUUUUUAAUGUAUAGCUUAUAUACUUAAUUAUUAAUUUUUUCUAUUUUUCAUGCAUUUCCAAUUUAUGAUUUCAUGGGAUUUACUGGGGUCAACCCUCUGGUCAGUCCAGAAUUGCUUCCAACCAUACCUAUCUCCUUAAAACGAGUUUGAUAGGCAUUGUAAAAGGAUUUUAGGAAUGAAUUGGUUGAUGCAUCAAUUGCCUCUACGAAGGUCUUCUGUCAAUGCAAAGCUUCUUGCUGAUAUUCUUGCUUCUUAUUUACUCUUCCAUUAGCAUUUGUAUAUGAUUUUAGGAUUUUAUUAUAGUUUGGUGUAUCAUCAUCAUCUUCAUCUAAGCCUUAUUCCAACUAUAUAUAUGGGGUUGGCUACAUGAAUCCUGUUUUCUCAUCCGUUCUGUUUACUUCCAUAUCCAUUGUUAUUGUUUGUUAAUAUGUAAGUUUAGUCUUCUGUCCGUUCUAAUUGUGGAAAAUAUAUGCCCUUUGUCACUAGAGUUUUCUGGGAAAAACUUCCUAUAGUAGUGAUACUGCUGCUUAUGGAAAUCUCCUGCAGGCUCAACUAAUUUGUCUUCUCUUCUGCCUCCUACAUUUUUCAGUGGAUGUGCUAUUGUGCUAAACCUGAUAAAACAAUGUUCUCAACGUUACCCAGUGCAGUCAUGGCAUCCUCUCCAUUUCCUCCUCACAGAGGCAUCGAUCCUUCAAGUUUUGUAUACUUACUGUAAAUUUCUUUGGGUUUGAAUCUUCAAUCUUUACUUUAAGAAAAAGAAGUAAACAGGCAUGUUAUCUCGUGCUUACUAUCAUCAUUGGGUUUUAAACAGUCUACUUGAUUGAACAAAUAACCAUGCCAAGGCAUGCCAAGCACCUCAGUAUUGAAGAACCAUAAGCUACCUCUACCUCUGUCCUCAGAUUUUUGGGUCGAGUUAAGUGGGCUUUGCAAGAUUUUGAGUCUUGCUUAACAAUGGAAGACAUAAAUAAGUUUGGUAUUAUGUGACACAUAUGGCCUUUUUCCUGUGCAAAUUUCACAUUUGAAUCUUGGUGCUGUCACAGGAAAUGCUUCAAAACUGUAUUACUAGGACAACCUCAAACUAAGAGUUCUCAUAUUUGCAUUUUAGCCAAUUCAUGAGGCAUCUUGAUAGUUCUUGAUACCAGUACAGUCCUUUUCAAGAUUCUUGGUCAUGAAGCAGAGAAACAACAUCAUUUCAAGGUUUUCAGCUUCACAUAUCAAAAUCUCUAGAAGAGAAGCAAUGCCUUUGCAAUCUUGCACAACCAUUUCUAUCACUGCUUCUCCUAGCUUCAGUUUAAAAGGUUUGUAUUGGGCAUUUAUAUAACAGAUGGCAGGCAAGAGAAGGAAGAGUUGAUUUUUCAUCUCCUUGGAAUCUCAUUUAUGAAGAUUGUAGUAUUUUUGUUCUUUAUUUUAUAAAUCUGUUUCUAGAAGGUGCUCCAGAAAGCUUUAGAAUUUCCGAGGGCUACU